rnacentral:tRNA from 1 species
GCACAUAUGGCGCAGUUAGUGGCGCGCUUCCCUUGCAGGAAGAGGUCAUCGGUUCGAUUCCGGUUGCGUCCA